rnacentral:misc_RNA from 1 species
UUAUAUAUUAUAAAAAAUCAUAUUCUUUGAUAUAUAUCUGGUCUGAAAAAGAUUUGGUUCUUCAGGAAGUGAGCAUGAGCUACCCGUUGCAAGCUGCCAGUGUUGUUCGGUUUUCAUACUCCACACUCACAGAGAGAGAUCGUGCCUCCUCUCCUAUUAUGUAUGUAGUGGUACACCGUAGAGCGGACGGAAGAGGGCAACAACAAAAAAAAAAAAGUUGCACCCACAUAUAUCAUCGUGCGGCGGUUAUUUGCAGCGUGAUGCGCCGAUCUGAUGCCUGCAUCUUGGGCGCCGCCGCCGCCGCGUGCCGCCUGUGGAACGCGUCGCGGCGCUUCCUGAGCAGCAUCUCCAUCUCCCGCCGCUCCUCCUUGGCUAUGUGGCGGCACCGGCACUCGGCGCUGCAAAAGCCUUGCUCUCCUCUGCGGGAAGGAAGAAACAAUUGAAAUUGAAACCCCCUGCCCUGCACACGAGUAACCGAUUGCCUGCGGACUGCGGCGCGCGGCACCGGGUUCGAGAGAGAGAGAGAGAGGGAUGAUGAGUCGUCACUCGUCUAUCGAUAUCUUACUUGUACACGAAGACGUCCAUGGUGGCGUCCAGGUCCCUGUGGCAGCAGGAGCAGCGCUUGAGGAACUCGAGCCCCGCGAACACCCGCCGGCCGCUGUCGUCGUCGUCGUGGCACUUGACCGCGCUCGCCGUGGCCGGGUUAACAAUCCUCACCGCGGACUUCCUGAGCACCGCGGGCAGCUGCUGCUUCCUCGGCGACGGCUGGAUGAUGAGGCGGAGCCCGACGAGCUGCGGGUCGCCGGCGGGCGCCGCCAUCGCCGCUGGCGCCGAGGUCGAGGCACGGGCACCCACUCCCUCCUCGAGGCGGAAGAGACCUGGCGCUCUUGGGAUCAUUACGUACUCUGCGUGUGCGGGACUAGCGUUAAUGUAGCUAGCGGUCUCGGACUCUCUUCUGUGUACCCGGAGAAGGAAGGUAUUUCGCGGGAGGAGACGAACGCGGGACUGGAGCAAUGUCCACUGGUGAGGUGCUCCUCCAGCUGCACUGCCGGGGAGGGGAGGGGGAUGCCCUGCGCUCAUUUAUACUAGUGCGCAUCGCUCG